rnacentral:rRNA from 1 species
AUUGAACGCUGGCGGCAGGCCUAACACAUGCAAGUCGAACGAGGGGCGGACGGGUGAGUAAUGUCUGGGAAACUGCCUGAUGGAGAGGGAUAACUACUGGAAACGGUAGCUAAUACCGCAUACCAUCAGCUUUGCCCAUAUGGGAUUAGCUAGUGGGUGGGGUAACGGCUCACCUCGGCGCCGAUCCCUAGCUGGUGUGAGAGGAUGACCAGCCACAUUGGAAAGGAGACACGGUCCAGACCCCUACGGGAGGCAGCAGUGGGGAAGAUUGCACAAGGGGCGCAAGCCUGAUGCAGCCAUGCCGCGUGUAUGAAGAAGGACUUCGGGUUGUAAAGUACUUUCAGCGGGGAGGCGUUACCCGCAGAAGAAGCACCGGCUAACUCCGUGCCAGCAGCCGCGGUAAUAC